CCAAUAGCGUAUAUUAAAGUUGUUGCAGUUAAAAAGCUCGUAGUUGAACCUCGGGAUCAAUGGAUCGGUCAUGCCAUCGGUAUGUACUGGUCUCAUUGGUUCUCACCUUCUAAGGAACCAUGAUGUCAUUCAUUUGAUGUUGUGGGGAAUUAGGACUGUUACCUUGAAAAAAUUAGAGUGUUUAAAGCAGGCUAACGCUUGAAUACAUUAGCAUGGAAUAAUGAAAUAGGACAUCGCAUUCUAUUUUGUUGGUUUCUAGGAUCGAUGUAAUGAUUAAUAGGGAUAGUUGGGGGCAUUAGUAUUCAAUUGUCAGAUGUGAAAUUCUUGGAUUUAUUGAAGACUAACUACUGCGAAAGCAUUUGCCAAGGAUGUUUUCAUUAAUCAAGAACGAAAGUUAGGGGAUCGAAGACGAUCAGAUACCGUCGUAGUCUUAACCAUAAACUAUGCCGACUAGGGAUCGGAUGAUGUUGAUUUUUUAAUGACUCAUUCGGCACCUUACG
rnacentral:rRNA from 1 species